AUAAACUUGAAUUACACCUUGAAAUUUCGGAUCGAAAUGAAAAGUUGAGGCCCACUCUAACUUGCCUGAUCAGAAGGCUAGAAUCAAGCAGCAUAACAGAAACUAAUUCCUUACCAAAACGUGGAAAUUGUUGAAUAAGAAUAGUUGGAUUCGGAAGCACUUCCAGGUAUACCAAAAAUGGGUUGAUUUCUCUCGCGUCAUUUCCUCGUAAUCCUGGAAAAAAUAGAAUGUUUCAUUAAUCUCGGUAAAAUAAAUGGCUUUUUCUGUUGAAUACAUUGACUCCUUUCCGACACAACCUCCUGAUGAGUUGAUGUGCAUUGAUUUUCCGAAGCUCGAGCGAUGUGCAGUCAGUCAUUCAUUCUUUCCCCGUGGAGGCGACCAGUGAAGGGCGGCUACGAGAAACCCCAGCCGCGGAGUCCCGAGCUUGCCCAGUGGAUGAGGUGAGACGAGGGAGGUAGGAAUAAGUCGCCUCCAUUAACUGCGAUGAGAGCUCCACGAGCUACAGCGGCAGAUGGGUUUUCCCGGCGAGGGCAGUCUCCAUCACUGCCCGAAGAAGACGCUUGGAACAGGAGAAGAGAAGGCAGUGAGAGGGACUUGACACCAACUAAGUACAUUCUCCACAUGAGGGAGAGAAGGCGAGCCCAGAAGAUAGGCUCGAGCUCUCUGCCAUAAUAAUGGCAUCGGUACGGCUUCGCCCCUUCCCCUCACCCAAUGCCAUACACUGCCAGUGCAACAGCGACGAACCUAUCAACCUGUCUC
rnacentral:lncRNA from 1 species